UCUCCGUAGGUGAACCUGCGGAGGGAUCAUUACAGAGUUCAUGCCCUACCGGGUAGAUCUCCCACCCUAUGUGAUUAUUACUUUGUUGCUUUGGCGGGCCGUUAGGCUCCGGCCCGACUACCGGCCCCGGCUGGUAAGCGCCCGCCAGAGGACCCAAAACCCUGAAUAUUAGUGUCGUCUGAGUACUAUAUAAUAGUUAAAACUUUCAACAACGGAUCUCUUGGUUCUG
rnacentral:misc_RNA from 1 species